rnacentral:rRNA from 1 species
CUUGGUCAUUUAGAGGAAGUAAAAGUCGUAACAAGGUUUCCGUAGGUGAACCUGCGGAAGGAUCAUUAUUGAUUUCAAAACUGGGAUGUGCUGGUCUCCUUUCAAAGGGGGACAAUUAGUGCACUCUCAACCUUGAUAAUCCACCCUGUGCACAUUCUGUAGAUGAGGGGAUUAACUUCAAUCACCUUGUCUACAUUUUUUAACACACUCAAUAUAUUAAUGGAUGGUAGUUUGAAAUAUUAAUACAACUUUCAACAAUGGAUCUCUUGGUUCUCGCAUCGAUGAAGAACGCAGCGAAUUGCGAUAUGUAAUGUGAAUUGCAGAAUUCAGUGAAUCAUCGAAUCUUUGAACGCAUAUUGCACCCUCAGGUCUUUUCCAGAGGGUAUGCCUGUUUGAGUGUCAUUAACAACAUCAAUGUAGAACAUUUUGUUAUGCUCUACACUUGGAAAUUGAAGGUUUUGCUGGCCAGUCAUGGUCAGCUCCUUUUAAAUUCAUUAGCGGGACUUUUGAAGACUUGGCUUCAGUUUGAUAAUAAUGUCUAUGCUGUCGCUAAGGAACGUUUAUGUCUGGCUUAUAAUCGUCCUUUUGGACUGUCUCUUAAGGAGGCAUAACCCACUUUGACUUUUGACCUCAAAUCAGGUAGGACUACCCGCUGAACUUAAGCAUAUCAAUAAGCGGAGGAAAAGAAACUAACCAGGAUUCCCUUAGUAACUGCGAGUGAAGAGGGAAAAGCUCAAAUUUAAAAUCUGGCGGUCAGUUUGGCCGUCCGAGUUGUAAAUUAGAGAAGCGUUUAUCCGCGCUGGACCGUGCAAAAGUCUCUUGGAAAGGAGCAUCAUAGAGGGUGACAAUCCCGUCUUUGGCACGGACUCCCAGGGCAUUUGUGAUGCGCUCUCAAAGAGUCGAGUUGUUUGGGAAUGCAGCUCUAAAUGGGUGGUAAACUCCAUCUAAAGCUAAAUAUUGGCGAGAGACCGAUAGCGCACAAGUACCGUGAGGGAAAGAUGAAAAGGACUUUGAAAAGAGAGCUAAACAGUACNUGAAAGUGUUGAAAGGGAAACGCUUGAAGU